UACGUAGGGGGCAAGCGUUGUCCGGAUUUAUUGGGCGUAAAGAGCGUGUAGGCGGCCAGGUAGGUCUGCUGUGAAAACUCGAGGCUCAACCUCGAGACGUCGGCGGAAACCAUCUGGCUAGAGUCCGGAAGAGGAGAGUGGAAUUCCUAGUGUAGCGGUGAAAUGCGCAGAUAUCAGGAAGAACACCCGUGGCGAAGGCGGCUCUCUGGGACGGUACUGACGCUGAGACGCGAAAGCGUGGGGAGCGAACAGG
rnacentral:rRNA from 1 species